GAUGAACGCUGGCGGCGUGCCUAAUACAUGCAAGUCGAGCGAACAGACGAGGAGCUUGCUCCUCUGACGUUAGCGGCGGACGGGUGAGUAACACGUGGAUAACCUACCUAUAAGACUGGGAUAACUUCGGGAAACCGGAGCUAAUACCGGAUAAUAUAUUGAACCGCAUGGUUCAAUAGUGAAAGACGGUUUUGCUGUCACUUAUAGAUGGAUCCGCGCCGCAUUAGCUAGUUGGUAAGGUAACGGCUUACCAAGGCGACGAUGCGUAGCCGACCUGAGAGCGAGAUCGGGCAGACUGGAGCGAAGACACGGUCAGGACUCCUACGGGAGGCAGAAGUAGGGAAUUUUCCGCAAAGGGCGAAGGCUUGAAGGAGCAAGGACGUGGGAAUGAUGAAGUUCUUCGGUUCCUAAAACUCUGUUAUCGGGAAAGAAAAAAUGGGCAACAAACUAUGCACGGCUUGCCGCUACGUAAUCAGAAGGCCACGACUAACUACGUC
rnacentral:rRNA from 1 species